rnacentral:tRNA from 1 species
CAAAAAGUAGCUUAUUAUAAAGCAGUCAACUUACAAUUGAACAACGUUAAGAAACCAUUUGACCUUUUUGC